UCACUUGGAUAAGUUAACAACGCUGCCUC
rnacentral:piRNA from 1 species